GUAGUUGUGGCCGAGUGGUUAAGGGGUUGGACUAGAAAUCCAUUGGGGUGUCCCCGCGCAGGUUCGAAUCCUGCCGACUAUG
rnacentral:tRNA from 1 species